CCCUACUCGUAUCCAUCCAUCCAUCUUAUCCUCAACUCUCUCUCUCUCUUCUCAGACUAUCUGCCUCUCUCUCCAGCAGCCAGGCGCGGCGCCGGUUCGCAGAUCCGGCGGCCUAGUGAGGCGCAGCUACGGCGACGCAUCUCGGGCGGCCAGGAGCAGCGCGGCGGCCUCGCUCCGAUGGCCAGGAGUGGUGCGGCGUACUAGCUUGUUUUGUUAACGGGCGUUUAUCACUUGGUGUGCUAGGUACCGGAAUCCAGCAGAGGCCGUCGAGACCGGCACAUCUCCGGCGAACAGGAGCGACACAGGCCCGCGGCCGGGCGCGACGGCCGGGUCCGGCGGCCUGGCGAGGCACGGCCUGACCAGGAAGCCCCUCCGCGGCCGCUCCAGGUUCGCCGUCUCCACGGCCCGCGAAUCUUUAAUAGACGAAACUUGACCCUGCACUUGGGUGAAAAUCGAUCCCAUGUAGCGCCACGUCUACAACAAUUUUGGUCCAUUGGAUUCUCAAGCAACGGCUGGAGAAAAGCAAGCGUAUAUAGGUUAGCUUCCUGAACGCACGUAUUGGAGACAAGAAUCUUCCUGAACGUGCUUAGUACUCCAGCAAGGAAAUUCGCGACGCUUCCUCUUCUGAAUCGCUAGAAACUUCCCGAGCGGAGGAGGAGCCGUGCCGACGGCAAGCCGGAACACAAGCUAAAUAUCUUCCGUUGCUCCGAAGUUCCUUCCCCAUACGCUCGAUCUGGUAUAUAAUACAAAGAGAAACACGAGGGCCCAGACGUUUGAUCUCAUCGCAGGUGACGCAGCCGACGGCCACGCCAACCCCGCCGUCUUCGUCGACGGACGGGCGACGCCAACCUUCACAUUGUUGUGCCGACCGGCGACCGCCUCGUUCACGCCUCUCCGCCGGCCACUUACCGAGAUCCGAAGUGAUCCCAGCUUCCUGUAACAGAUGGAUAUAGUGAAUCACAUGGUGGUGCAAUGGCUUGGGGGCUUUGCUACAACCAUGAAUUGAGCCCCAGUCAGAGCUACUCUCAUGAUUGCAAUGAGUACUAUGGCAGAGACGCUAUUCCUGUUUACAGGUCAGACUGAUAUGUCACUUUGUUGAUAAUCUUGGAUCCGCUUGUUGAUGUUCACUAGGAAUCACAACUAUGGUAUCUCAUUACCAAUACUAUCUUGACUAGCUUGAUGGGAGUUGGCCCUGAGCACUCUGGACACAACUUGGAUUGUGGUGAUCAGGUGGCUUUCAAUCCAUCAUCAGAGAGUUCCGACUUCUAAGAAACUAUUUUAAAAAUCAGUGUGUCUGGGGCCGAGGGCCCACUAACUGGGUUCCCCAAGCUAUUGUGAUCAUGUCUUUGAAACAACAGUUGUUUGCCCUAUGGCAUAUGUAAUAUGUACUAUGAUAUUUAAUAUUUUACCACCGCAUAACACUA